AGGAUUAACGCUGGCGGCGUGCCUAACACAUGCAAGUCGAACGAGGUAGCAAUACCUAGUGGCAGACGGGUGAGUAACGCGUGGUCAACCUACCGUUGAGUGGGGGAUAACUAGCCGAAAGGUUAGCUAAUACCGCAUACGAGUCUCGGGGGCAUCCCUGGGCCUUAAAAGGAGCAAUCCGCUCGAUGACGGGACCGCGUCCCAUUAGCUAGAUGGUGGGGUAACGGCCUACCAUGGCACCGAUGGGUAGCUGGUUUGAGAGAGCGACCAGCCACACUGGGACUGAGAAACGGCCCAGACUCCUACGGGAGGCAGCAGUGAGGAAUUUUCCGCAAUGGGCGAAAGCCUGACGGAGCGACGCCGCGUGUGGGAAGAAGGCCUUCGGGUCGUAAACCACUGUCGAAGGGACGAUAAUGACGGUACCCUUGGAGGAAGCCCGGCUAACUACGUGCCAGCAGCCGC
rnacentral:rRNA from 1 species